rnacentral:rRNA from 1 species
GCUGAUAGAUGGGCUCGCGUCCGAUUAGAUAGUUGGUGGGGUAACGGCCUACCAAGUCGACGAUCGGUAGCCGGACUGAGAGGUCGAACGGCCACAUUGGGACUGAGACACGGCCCAGACUCCUACGGGAGGCAGCAGUGGGGGAUAUUGCACAAUGGGGGAAACCCUGAUGCAGCGACGCCGCGUGAGGGAAGACGGUCCUCUGGAUUGUAAACCUCUGUCUUCGGGGACGAAAGUAGGCGGUACCCGAGGAGGAAGCCACGGCUAACUACGUGCCAGCAGCCGCGGUAAUACGUAGGUGGCAAGCGUUGUCCGGAAUUGCUGGGUGUAAUGGGAGCGUAGGCGGGCAGGCAAGUCAGGCGUGAAAUAUAUCGGCUCAACCGGUAACGGCGCUUGAAACUGCAGGUCUUGAGUGAAGUAGAGGUUGGCGGAAUUCCUAGUGUAGCGGUGAAAUGCGUAGAUAUUAGGAGGAACACCAGUGGCGAAGGCGGCCAACUGGGCUUUUACUGACGCUGAGGCUCGAAAGUGUGGGGAGCAAACAGGAUUAGAUAGCCUGGUAGUCCACACCGUAAACGAUGAUUACUAGGUGUGGGGGGACUGACCCCUUCCGUGCCGGAGUUAACACAAUAAGUAAUCCACCUGGGGAGUACGGCCGCAAGGUUGCAACUCAAAGGGAUUGACGGA